UACGAAGGGGGCUAGCGUUGUUCGGAAUUACUGGGCGUAAAGCGCGCGCAGGCGGUCUUCCAAGUCAGUGGUGAAAGCCUGGAGCUCAACUCCAGAACUGCCAUUGAAACUGUUAGACUUGAGUACGAGAGAGGUGAGUGGAAUUCCCAGUGUAGAGGUGAAAUUCGUAGAUAUUCGGAAGAACACCAGUGGCGAAGGCGACUUACUGGACACAUACUGACGCUGAGGUGCGAAAGCGUGGGGAGCAAACAGG
rnacentral:rRNA from 1 species